ensembl:misc_RNA 7SK 7SK RNA
GGAUGUGAGGUCAAUCUGGCUGCGACAGCUGUCACCCUAUUGAUCUUGAUCGCCAGAGUUGAUUCAGCUGAUCUGGCUGGCUAAGCAGGUGUCCCCUUCUUCCCUCACUGCUCCUUGUGCGUCCCUCCCGAAGCUGCGCACUCUGUGCAAGAGGACAGCCUUCCCCGAAUAGAGACGGGCCGUUCGGUCUUCGGUUGAGGGUAUAGGAGUAGCUGUGCUCCUCUGCUAGAACCUCCAAACAAGCUCUCAAGAUCAUGUGACAAUACAGAAAGGGAAACAGCACAGCACUUAAGCCUCCCCAGUUGCUGGAGGCUGGGGUUCAAA